ensembl:lncRNA novel transcript
AUCGUCGGCUCGGAGGCUGAGGGGCUGCCGCAGCCGGGAGCCCCCCUCGCCUCGCUCCUCGCUCCGCUUGGUGUCAUGUGAUUCUCUGAGGGAGCAGCUGCGUGAGUGGAGAUGCUUUCAGUGGUGGAGAAUGGACUGGACCCCCAGGCUGCCAUCCCGGUCAUCAAGAAGAAGCUGGUGGGAUCCGUGAAAGCCUUGCAAAAGCAGUACGUGUCCCUGGACAUGGUGGUCACUAGUGAAGACGGAGAUGCCAACACCAUGUGCAGCGCCCUGGAGGCCGUAUUUAUCCAUGGCCUGCACACCAAGCACAUCCGAGCUGAGGCCGGAGGAAAAAGGAAGAAAAGUGCCCACCAGAAGCCUCUGCCCCAGCCUGUCUUCUGGCCCCUCCUGAAAGCUGUCACCCCCAAACACAUCAUCUCAGAGUUGGAGCACCUGACGUUUGUCAACAUGGAUGUGGGCCGCUGCCGGGCAUGGCUGCGGCUGGCCCUGAACAAUGGCCUGAUGGAGUGCUACCUGAAGCUGCUGCUGCAGGAGCAGGCCCGCUUGCAACUACAGCGGAAGGAAUCUCUGGAUUCCAUUUCCCAUUCUUCAGGCUCUGAAGACAUCGAAGUCCAUCACUCGGGCCAUAAGAUACGGAGGAACCAGAAGCCGACUGCCUCCUCCCUCAGCCUGGACACGGCCAGUUCAUCCCAGCUGUCCUGCAGCCUAAACUCUGAUAGCUGCUUACUCCAAGAGAAUGGCUCCAAGAGUCCAGACCAUUGCGAGGAGCCCAUGUCCUAUGACUCAGACCUGGGCACAGCAAAUGCUGAGGACUCAGACCAGUCUCUGCAAGAUAUAAAGAUUUUCAGCUGGGCGCAGUGGCUCACGCCUGUAAUCCCAGCACUUUGGGAGGCCGAGGCAGGCGGAUCACAAAGUCAAGAGAUCGAGACCUUUCUGGCUAACACGGUGAAACCUCAUCUCUACUAAAAAUACAAAAAAUUAGCCGGGCGUGGUGGCGGGCGCCUGAAGUCCCAGCUACUCAGGAGGCUGAGGCAGGAGAAUGGUGUGGACCCGGGAGGCGGAGCUUGCAGUGAGCUGAGAUUGUGCCACUACACUCCAGCCUGGGUGACAGAGUGAGACUCUGUCCCAAAAAAAAAAACAAGAUUUUUAAAAUGUCUUCCUUAUUUAUUACUUUCUCUCCUACAAAGGCAGUAUAUACACACUGUUCUAUAUCUUGUUUUGGAGAAGAUCUUUUCAUAUCAGAGCUUCUUCAUUCUUUUAUUUUUAUUUUUUAUAGAGACGGGGGUCUCACUGUGUUGCCCAGGCUGGUCUUGAACUCCUGGGCUCAAGAGAUCUUCCUGCCUCAGGCUCCCAAAUUGCUGGGGAUUACAGGCGUGAGCCACUGCGCUCAGCCUCAUUCUUUUUUUUUCUAUUGCAUAUUGUUCUAGUGUAUCAAUGUACCUUAGUUUACUUAAUCAGCCCAGUAUUUAAUGGGUGCUGGGGCCUGUGUUUUCAUAAAUAACCUUGUGUAUGUGGUCUUUUAGUUCUGCGUAGCUAUCUCUGUUCCAUAAACUCCCAG